rnacentral:rRNA from 1 species
AUUGAACGCUGGCGGCAGGCCUAACACAUGCAAGUCGAACGAGUGGCGGACGGGUGAGUAAUGUCUGGGAAAAUGCCUGAUGGAGGGGGAUAACUACUGGAAACGGUAGCUAAUACCGCAUACCAUCGGAUGUGCCCAGAUGGGAUUAGCUAGUAGGUGGGGUAAAGGCUCACCUAGGCGACGAUCCCUAGCUGGUCUUAGAGGAUGACCGGCCACACUGGAACAGAGACACGGUCCAGACUCCUACGGGAGGCAGCAGUGGGGAAUAGUGCACAAUUGGCGCAAGCCUGAUGCAGCCGUGCCGCUUGUAUGGAGAAGGCCUUCGGGUUGUAAAGUACUUUCAGCGUGGAGGCGUUACCCGCAGAAGAAGCACCGGCUAACUCCGUGCCAGCAGCCGCGGUAAUUC